rnacentral:tRNA from 1 species
GAUUUUAGGAUUAAGAUUAAAAAAAAAAAAUUAAGCUUAAUUUUUUAAAAAGGAUUAAAACUCCUUUUAAAUCA